CAAAGGCCUGUCCGCCGGCUGUGGUUUGGGGAUGGGAAGGCAUGGAAGUAGACAUCAGUUAAAGGACCUGUGUGCACCUUCCUCUCCAAGUGGUCCCCUGAGGCUAGCAAGGCUGGGACUGCCUGCUUCUGACCAGGGCAGGCCGGGGCUUCCGGUCUGCUCAACACGCCUGAUCACACAGGCUUCCGGUCCGCUCAGCACCCCUGAUCACACAGGCUUCCGGUCUGCUCAGCACCCCUCAUGAAUGACAGCCUCUUGGGUAAAUAUUCAUGCAUGGACUUGCUAACUCAAAAGAUGCAACCCUUCUCAGCAGCCCGGAGGGUGAAGCUGAGGAUCUGGAGGCCAAACUCAUCCCAGAGGCUGGCGUGAAAGUGUUCAGCUUGGUCCUGGGGUCAUUGCCACACCCAUGAGGGCAGCUGUAGAAGACUCCAUGUGUCAUGAAAAUGCUGAUGACUUAAAUGUUGUGAGGCCUGGGGUUCUCCUCAAAAUAAGAGUGAGAGCGAGUGGCGGUACGGAAACAAAAAUGGUCGUCAGCUAAGCAUAGAAUCCGUGUGUGGGCAUAGAGUUCACAACACAAGUCACUGCAUCCCGGAGGCAUUGUGUGACGAACACGCACCCCAACCACGCGUCCUUUAUCUCUGCCCCCAGUCCUGCCUGAGCCCACUGCA